rnacentral:rRNA from 1 species
UGCAAGUCGAACGAACUUAAUCGUUAGUUUACUAAUGAAGCGGUUAGUGGCGGACUGGUGAGUAACACGUAAGCAACCUGCCUAUUAGAGGGGAACAACAGUUAGAAAUGACUGCUAAUACCGCAUAUGCCAUAAGUAUCGCAUGAUACAAGUGGGAAAGGAGCAAUCCGCUAAUAGAUGGGCUUGCGUCUGAUUAGAUAGUUGGUGGGGUAACGGCCUACCAAGUCGACGAUCAGUAGCCGAGUUGAGAGACUCUACGGCCACAUUGGGACUGAGAUACGGCCCAGACUCCUACGGGAGGCAGCAGUCGGGAAUAUUGCGCAAUGGAGGAAACUCUGACGCAGUGACGCCGCGUGCAGGAAGGAGGUUUUCGGAUUGUAGACUGCUUUAGACAGGGAAGAAAAAGACAGUACCUGUAGAAUAAGCUCCGGCUAACUACGUGCCAGCAGCCGCGGUAAUACGUAGGGAGCAAGCGUUAUCCGGAUUUAUUGGGUGUAAAGGGUGCGUAGACGGGAAAAUAAGUUAGUUGUGAAAUCCCCAUGCUUAACAUGGGAACUGCAACUAAAACUGUUUUUCUUGAGUGCUGGAGAGGAAAGUGGAAUUCCUAGUGUAGC